rnacentral:rRNA from 1 species
UACGUAGGGCGCAAGCGUUAUCCGGAAUUAUUGGGCGUAAAGAGCUCGUAGGCGGUUUGUCGCGUCUGCCGUGAAAGUCCGGGGCUCAACUCCGGAUCUGCGGUGGGUACGGGCAGACUAGAGUGAUGUAGGGGAGACUGGAAUUCCUGGUGUAGCGGUGAAAUGCGCAGAUAUCAGGAGGAACACCGAUGGCGAAGGCAGGUCUCUGGGCAUUAACUGACGCUGAGGAGCGAAAGCAUGGUGAGCGAACAGG